ensembl:snoRNA small nucleolar RNA SNORD59
UCUUCUGUGAUGAUUUAACAGUGACUUUCGUUCUUCUGAGUAAACUGAAGCCAAACCUUACUGUUCUGAGAAGA